rnacentral:rRNA from 1 species
UACGUAGGGUGCAAGCGUUAAUCGGAAUUACUGGGCGUAAAGCGUGCGCAGGCGGUUUUGUAAGUCUGAUGUGAAAUCCCCGGGCUUAACCUGGGAAUUGCAUUGGAGACUGCAAGGCUAGAAUCUGGCAGAGGGGGGUAGAAUUCCACGUGUAGCAGUGAAAUGCGUAGAGAUGUGGAGGAACACCGAUGGCGAAGGCAGCCCCCUGGGUCAAGAUUGACGCUCAUGCACGAAAGCGUGGGGAGCAAACAGG